GUUUUGGAGGGAAAUAAAUGAAAAAAGAGUUUUGAGCUUCAAAUUGGUAUAGAAAAUACUUUUUAAGUAUAUUUAUGUGUAUCUAAUUGCUUCUCAAAUGAGUUUUGGACUUAAUUUAAACUACUAGACUUAGGAAGUGUUUGGUGUAGAAAACAAAAGUGUAACUUCUGCAUUUUGCCUAAUCAAGAAAAAGUAGUUUGGUUAGCCAAAUCUUGUCUUUUAAUGAGCUAGGAAAAAAUCAAUUAAAAAGCCUAAGAAAUUACAUGUUAUAUAAACUCUU